UUGGAGGGCAAGUCUGGUGCCAGCAGCCGCGGUAAUUCCAGCUCCAAUAGCGUAUAUUAAAGUUGUUGCAGUUAAAAAGCUCGUAGUUGAAUUUCGGGAUCAGUACGCCGGUCGUGCCUUCGGUAUGCACUGGUGUCACUGGUUUCUCCCUUCUGAAGAACCAUCAUGCCAUUAAGUUGGUGUGGCGGGGAAUCAGGACUGUUACUUUGAAAAAAUUAGAGUGUUUAAAGCAGGCUCGCGCUUGAAUACAUUAGCAUGGAAUAAUGAAAUAGGACGUUUGACCCUAUUUUGUUGGUUUCUAGGAUCGACGUAAUGAUUAAUAGGGAUAGUUGGGGGCAUUAGUAUUCAAUUGUCAGAGGUGAAAUUCUUGGAUUUAUUGAAGACUAACUACUGCGAAAGCAUUUGCCAAGGAUGUUUUCAUUAAUCAAGAACGAAAGUUAGGGGAUCGAAGACGAUCAGAUACCGUCGUAGUCUUAACCAUAAACUAUGCCGAUUAGGGAUCGGACGGUGUUAUUUUUGACCCGUUCGGCGCCUUACGGGAAAC
rnacentral:rRNA from 1 species